CUUUUCUGGAAAAAGAACAGAUGGGUUUUGUUUCUCCACGGGCACUAUCUGGCCUACAGGGUGCCUGCCCUGACCUGACCCUUGGGGUCCCCAUCACUCGGUGUGAUGCUCAGGACACCUCCAGGCUGCUGGCCGCAGAAGGAAUGGUGCAUGCAGCCUGGACCAUGGGAAUGACAGGGACACCUCUGGUUCUUCCCCCAAAGCCCACAGACUGGACAGGCCUUGACCUCCCCACCUCACUCUCUCAUCUCUGGAGACUGCUGGCACCAACUCAGGACCCCAUCACCUACCCCACCUGAAAUCCUGGGCCCUAACAGUGCAUUGGCUGAGUUACCCACAUCUGAGUCCCUCCUGAAUUGUAGGAAGGGAACUGAGCCUAAGAUGAUGGGGGUGAGAGCUGGGGGUGUGGGGCAGACAUGGGGUCUGGCCAGGCCCUCGGGGACAGGGAAUGUGGUUUCCAAAGAGGUGGCAGGGGUUCCCUGUGUCCUCUGCCCCUGGGCCACUGUCCCUUUCCCGGUGAAACUGGGCUGUCAUUGCUUCUGUCUCAAGAGCACCCAGGGGAGGCAGCACCUGGAAGCACAGUGGGGACUUCCCAGUGUCUGAACAGGCUGCCCCUGGGCCCCCACUGCCAGCCUCUAGAGCUGGGACAAAGCCAUCUCUGCUCUGCAUGGGGACCCAGGUGCUCAGGUCCUUGUCAGCAGGGGACAAGAACCCCUGCCCACAGAGCCCAGAGGCCAGCGCUGCUCUGGGUCCUGCUGACUUCUGUUGGCCCAAGGCUAGGACUGCAAAGCCAACACUCAGCUGCACUUGGGUUCUGCCUCGGGGGCCCCAGCGCCUGCCUCUGCGCCCACCCUGCUCACAGGAGUGCACUCGGCCCCCACUACUGGGUUCAGGGCACCUGGGCCUUCCAGGGGUCCUCAGAUGGCUGAAGGGGAUCCAGUGCCGGCUGGACCACCCCGCAGGAGGAUCCAGGAAAGCUUCCCGAGGCCCCGCCAGGCCAUGCUGUCAGAAGCUCCUGAAAGCAGAACUGCUGAGCCCAGGGAGGACAAGGAGGACUAGGAAGAGGUUCUGCUCACCCGGGCCAAGCAUGGGACCCCCCCAACUCCUCCAUCCCCAGCACCCAGGCCUCUGUGGGCCCUGAGGACUUACUUCGGUGGACCUUGAGGACGGUGUACACCAUGCCGCUUCCUGCUAACACACCUGGGAAAGCAGCAGAAGAUGGUUCAAGCACUAGGGACCUUGCACUCACAUGGGAGACCCAGAUGGAGUUCCAGGCUUCUGACUUGAGGCCCGCCAGGCCUAGCUUCAGUGGUUGCGAGAAUUUGGGGAGUGCACGAGUGUGGAAGAUCUUUCUGUCUCUCCCUCUCUGUCACCGUCUUUCAAAUAAAUAAAUAAAUAAAUCUUUAAAAAAAAGAAAGAAAAAUGACUCCAACUCUGUGGUGGGGAGAGGGGGAAGGUCCCCAGCUGUAUUUACUCCAGGUUCUUAUCUCCAUGUGAGAUAAAAUUCAAAUGAAGCAACAUGCUCCUGAAUAAUCACUGGGUCAAUGAAGAAAUUAAAGCGUAUCUUGAGACAAAUGAAGUGGAAACUGACAUAUCAAAAUCUGUGGCAGCAGCCAAAACAAUUCUUUUUUUUUUUUAAGGAUUUAUUUAUUUAUCUGAAGAGUUACACGGAGAGAGAAGAUGCAGAGAGAGAGAGAGAGAGAGAGAGAGAGAGACAUAGAGAUAGAUACAGGGGCUGGCGCUGUGACUCACUUGGUUAAUCCUCUACCUGCGGUACCAGCAUCCCAUAUGGCACCAGGUUCUGGUCCCAGUUACUCCUCUUCUAGUCCAACUCUCUGCUGUGGCCCGGGAGGGCAGUGGAGGAUGGCUCAGGUGCUUGGGCCCCUGCACCUGCAUGGGAAACCAGGAGGAAGCACCUGGCUCCUGGCUUCAGAUCGGCAUAGCUCUGGCUGUAGUGGCCAUUUUGGGGAUGAAUCAAUGGAAGGAAGACCUUUCUCUCUGUCUCUGUCUCUCACUGUCUAACUCUGUCAAAUAAAUAAAUAAAUUUUAAAAAAGAGAGAGAGGUCUCCA